UGGGGGGGGCAUAUCACCCUGGAGCCCAAGACUGGUUGCCCACUGAAGCUAAGCAGGGUUGAGCCUGGUCAGUACCUGGAUGAGAGACUUCCUGGGAAAACUAGGUUGCUGUUGGAA
rnacentral:rRNA from 1 species